AUGUCAGUCACUGUAAAAUUUUGCUUUAAGUUCACUGGUUCAUUUAAGCUGGAUCACAGCAAACUGUGGAAAAUUCUGAAAGAGAUGGGAAUACCAGACCACUGGACCUCCCUUUUCAGAAACCUAUAUGCAGGUCAGGAAGCAACUGUUAGAACCGGACAUGGAACAACAGACUGGUUCCAAACAGGAAAAGUAGUACGUCCAGGCUGUAUAUUGUCACCCUGCUUAUUUAAAUUCUAUGCAGAGUACAUCAUGAGAAACACUAGGCUGGAAGAAGCAAAAACUGGAAUCAAGAUUGCCAGGAGAAAUAUCAAUAACCUCAGAUAUGCAGAUGACACCACCCUUAUGGCAGAAAGUGAAGAGGAACUAAAAAGCCUCUUGAUGAAAGUGAAAGAGAGUGAAAAAGUAGGCUUAAAGCUCAACAUUCAGAAAACGAAGAUCAUGGCAUCCGGUCCCAUCACUUCAUGGGAAAUAGAUGGGGAAACAGUGGAAACAGUGUCAGACUUUAUUUUUUUAGGCUCCAAAAUCACUGCAGAUAGUGACUGCAGCCACGAAAUUAAAAGACGCUUACUCCUUGGAAGGAAAGUUAUGACCAACCUAGAUAGCAUAUUCAAAAGCAGAGAUAUUACUUGGCCAACAAAUGUCUGUCUAGUCAAGGCUAUGGUUUUUCCUGUGGUCAUGUAUGGAUGUGAGAGUUGGACUGUGAAGAAAGCUGAGCACCGAAGAAUUGAUGCUUUUGAACUGUGGUGUUGGAGAAGACUCUUGAGAGUCCCUUGGACUGCAAGGAGAUCCAACCAGUCCAUCCUAAAGGAUAUCAGUCCUGGGUGUUCAUUGGAAGGACUGAUGCUGAGGCUGAAACUCCAAUACUUUGGCCACCUCUUGCAAAGAGCUGACUCAUUGGAAAAGACCCUGAUGCUGGGAGGGAUUAGGGGCAGGAGGAGAAGGGGGCGACAGAGGAUGAGAUGGCUGAAUGGCAUCACCAACUCGAUGGACAUGAGUCUGAGUGAACCCCGGGAGAUGGUGAUGGACAGGGAGGCCUGGUGUGCUACAAUUCAUGGGGUCUCAAAGAGUCAGAUGCAACUGAGUGACUGA
rnacentral:lncRNA from 1 species